rnacentral:rRNA from 1 species
GUCCUUUUGAUUUUUAUUUAAGGUCUGACCUGCCCACUGAUAUAUAUAUUUAAUGGCCGCGGUAUUUUGACCGUGCAAAGGUAGCAUAAUAAUUUGUCUUUUAAUUGAAGGCUUGUAUGAAUGGUUGGACGAGAAAACUACUUUCUUUAUAAUAAAAUAAUUAAUUUUAUUUUUUAGUUAAAAAGCUAAAAUAUUGUUGUAGGACGAGAAGACCCUAUAGAACUUUAUAUUUAUUUCUAUAUUAAUGUUUUUUGUUUAUAAUAUAUUGUAUACUUAUAAAUAUUUUGUUGGGGCGACAAGAAAAUUUAUUUAACUUUUUUUUAUUAAUUUCAUUAAUUAAUGUAUAAAUGAUCCUUUAUUAAGGAUAAAUAGAAUUAGUUACCUUAGGGAUAACAGCGUAAUUUUUUUGGAGAGUUCUUAUCGAUAAAGAAGUUUGCGA